CUUGUCUGAGCACCGUUCCCUCUCCAAAGAACAGAGGCUUCCUGGCGUCCACCAGAAUCAGGUCAAAGUAGGACUGCCACGGCCGGUGGGACGUCCCGUGCUGCAACAACCACACACAGAUUCUGGUCAACGCGUGCCGAAUAUAGUUAACUACACGCGUCUACGGUGCCCUGGAAGACAGGACUACAGACUUCCUCGUCACGCUACCUUGAAGUGGACCCAGUCGACGGCGUCGCGGAUGUCUUGGAACAUGCUCUUGAAGGACAUGAAGAGGUCGCCAUCUUUAAAGCCAGUCUCACAGCUGAGG